rnacentral:rRNA from 1 species
GAUGAACGCUGGCGGUAUGCUUAACACAUGCAAGUCGAACGGACUCUUCGGAGUUAGUGGCGGACGGGUGAGUAGCGCGUGAGAAUCUGGCUUUGGGUUCGGGACAACCACUGGAAACGGUGGCUAAUACCGGAUGUGCCGAGAGGUAAAAGAGAAAUUGCCUGAAGAUGAGCUCGCGUCUGAUUAGCUAGUUGGUGAGGUAAAGGCUCACCAAGGCAGCGAUCAGUAGCUGGUCUGAGAGGAUGACCAGCCACACUGGGACUGAGACACGGCCCAGACUCCUACGGGAGGCGGCAGUGGGGAAUUUUCCGCAAUGGGCGAAAGCCUGACGGAGCAAUACCGCGUGAGGGAAGAAGGCUCUUGGGUUGUAAACCUCUCUUCUUAGGGAAGAACAAAAUGACGGUACCUAAGGAAUCAGCAUCGGCUAACUCCGUG